rnacentral:rRNA from 1 species
UACGUAGGGUGCGAGCGUUGUCCGGAAUUAUUGGGCGUAAAGGGCUCGUAGGCGGUUUGUCGCGUCGGGAGUGAAAUCCACUGGCUUAACUGGUGGGCUUGCUUUCGAUACGGGCAGACUGGAGGUAUGCAGGGGGAGAACGGAAUUCCUGGUGUAGCGGUGAAAUGCGCAGAUAUCAGGAGGAACACCGGUGGCGAAGGCGGGUCUCUGGGCCGAUACUGACGCUGAGGAGCGAAAGCGUGGGGAGCGAACAGG